CUCACAAAGUGGUUGUGAAA
rnacentral:miRNA from 15 species